UAAACUUUAAUACAUAAUUAGUAACUUAAUAAAUAUAAUUAAUACUAAAUCUAAAAAUUAUUAGUCAAUUAAAGAAAAUAUAAAAUCUUAUUCAUCAAAGAAAAAUUAAUAAUUUUUAUUAAAACAUUUACAGGCCCAAAGUAACAACUAAAGCCCAAAGAAAAUAAUUUAAAGACUUGUUAUUAUUAAUGCAGCCCAAGUAUUAUGUUAAGAAUGUAGAACCCAUUAAAAAUUAAUAAAAUCAGUCCAUCAGCUCAAUAAAAUCGGCCCAUAGAGAAAAAGAAAAGCCCAAAACAACUUGAGCUCAAAUUAAAGUCAAGGAAGCCCUAAAGAAAGUCAAAAGAAAAAUAAGAAAUUAAAACAAAUGGGUCUCUCUCUCCUCACUCCAUCCAUCGGUCCUCCCUAUCUUCCUCACCGCCCUCUCUCUCUUCUCCCUGAACCACCUCCUCUUCUCCAAGCUCCACGCCGGCCGCCUGCUCCAGCUCCGGCGAGACUCGCCGUCAGCCGCCUCGCGC
rnacentral:lncRNA from 1 species